UGGAGCCUGGGGGUGACAGGCUCUUCCAGCCCCUGCCGCUGCCUGCCCAGGCGGCCUGGCUGCCCCAGCGCCCGCAGGAGGGAGGGUGGGAGCCCGUGGGGCUCCUGCUCCUGCCGCGAUGGGAGUUCCUGACCCGCCUGGGCAAUGCCCGUGGUCCUCCAGGGGUACCCAGCUGCGGGGUCUGUGCAGCGUGACCCCCACACGGGGGCAGGGGCUGGGGGGGAUGGAUGCCCCUGGAGAUGGGGGGGAUGGAUGCCCCUAGGAUGCCCCUAUACGGGAACGACGAGAGGGCAGGGAAAGCCCAGCCCGUCCCGUGGGAAAUGCAGCCUGCAGCAGGGCCGAGGGGUGGCUGCGGGGCUGCGCUGGGGCCACCGGCUCUAGCGACACUCCCGGGUCGGCACUGCCCGGCCCGGCCCCGCCGGGACACAGCAGGGCACGGUGUGUGCGGAGCCUGCCGAGCCCUGUCCGCCUCGCUGCCCGAACGGAGCCGUUCGGUGCCUGAUGGGCCCCGCUCCGCACGAGGGGUGCGCUGAGGCUGCCGGGCCGCAGCUGGCGACAGGCCGGGGAGCUGGGGCAGAAAGAGCUCAGCCCCAAACCGCCCGGGCCCCUCACAGCCCCAACCCUCAGCUCAACAAGGGGGCUCAGCCCCGCAGGUGACUUGAAGGCUUAACUCACAUGUCCCUGCUCCCAAGCCCUGUGCAAGCCAGUGGCAGCAGCUGAUCCCCUGGAAGCAUCUCCCGUGUCUCACCAGGUGCAGUUUAGGAUGUAGUGAAUUUUUAAACUUGAUCCUGCAGACCUUUCAAGUUCUCUCUCCUCCUGAGAAUCUUCAGUCCAUGUUUUUCUUCCAUAUCCACUGCAAUGUCUGCCUGUGGUUUAUGUCGUCGGACUCCCGCUGCCCUCGUGAAUCUGCCAUGUGGGAGCUGGAUGAUGUGAAUGAGUUCUUUGGGUUUUUCCUGUUCUUAUUUGGUAAACUUGGGUUCAUGUUCUGGGAAACUCAUCCCAGUGCUCUACACGGUCUGUGGAUAUAAAUCUGCUCUGAACUCAUGCCUACUGCCAACAUUUUUCAAACCAGAUACUGAACAAGAGAGGGUUUUAGUUAACAUAAACCAGAGGCAAUUUAUGAUGACAAAGUAUUGCAAGAUGUGUGAGGGAAGAGACAAGCUGCUGAAAUGUUUGGCUAAAGUGAAGUGAAGAAGUGGAAUGUUUUUCUUUGUUCAGUGGCGUCCCCAAGGCCGCUCGGGCAGGGUGAGGAGGCUGCACAUCCCCAGCUGCCUCUGCUGGUGCUUUGGGAGCAGGAUGGAGACCGACUCUGCCCGGCAGCCCUUGGCAGGGCGUGCUGGGUACAGCUGCUGUUUUGUUGCUGGCUUUGGGGGCUUUGUUCUCUUUUCCUUUAAGAUACCUUGAGAAUGGAUGUUUCUCCCGAGGUGUAUCGAGCAGUGCAGAGCCCUCAGAGUGGCUGCUGCUCGGGCAGGCUGUGCAGACGCACCGAGCCUUGCUUUCCUGGCUGCUUUCCACUGGCCAAGGACAAUUGUUUCUCCUGCUGGGACUUGAGGGAGUUGAACUUGGAGAUGGACUUGGUGGAGAUGAUCGCUGAGGAGCCCAGGCUCUGAGGGGAGCUCAGCUCUCAGACAUCACAGGGUUUGAGAUUAGCGUGGUCUAAUGCACAGAGGUAUUUAAAAGCUCUCUGCCAUUUUAGAGAAGUGGAGCAGUGUGGGGGUUAACGGGGAGUCUCGGCUGUUCCAGGUGGGCAUUAGCCUUUCCCUCUCUCCCCUGGCACUGCUGGGACGGGCUGCGGCCGCCCCAGGGGCUCUGCCCACGUCCCUCCGGCUCCCUCCGGGCUUCGUGUCCGAGCUGUGGAGCCUGGCCUGGGCAAACCUGCUGCAAGCUGGCUGCAGCAGGACUUCAUGUCCUCACCCGAAUUUUGGCUUCUGUUUGCAUGCAGGGGAGAAGGGAGCGUCUCUGGAAAGUUCCAUCUGAAAAGCCAGAGCAGCAAAGCAGCUGGGAGACCCUUCAACAUCCACUGCUCAGGGCUGGGGGUCCUGCUGCACUGUCCUUGCCUGGGCCAGACCCAGACCCCACAAACCAGCUGAGGCUCUCCACCGAGCCGGAGAUCUGGGAAAGGAGCGAGAGGACGCUUGCCUGCAGGCUUAUUAGCAAGAAAGCAAUUAAACCCUUAAAAGAAACCGUCUGCACUCGGGCUGUCCACCUUCAUAACAUCCCUGUUUGCUGGGGAGAACCUGUUUGAACUGGUGCUGGGGCAGGCUGGUUCUGCAUCGCAUUGGCUGUCCAGCUCUUCAUUCUCUUCUGUUUAACCUCAGCAAAUGCUUCUUCCCUGUGCUGCACAGGGGAUGAAAACACCCUCCAUCACAAGGCAUUCCUUGCUUAUUUGCAGUCCUGAGGUUUGCUGGGUGUGAUCUAGAGAGAGAUAACAGCUGCUUUAUUCUUUCUGAUACAUGACCAAGUCAGCUUGUUUCCAACAUGAAUGAUUAAAAACCCACGUGCAUUUGUAAUGACCAUAUUCUAAUUAAAAAGCAACCCCCUCUUCAAAAAUUUGGGCAGCUAUAGUGGCAUUGUGCUAACCAAAAAUUAAUUAAUUAUUUAUAUGAAAUGUUCUGGUCUUUAAA